CCUACGGGGGGCAGCAGUGGGGAAUAUUGGGCAAUGGGCGCAAGCCUGACCCAGCAACGCCGCGUGAAGGAAGAAGGCUUUCGGGUUGUAAACUUCUUUUAAGAGGGAAGAGCAGAAGACGGUACCUCUUGAAUAAGCCACGGCUAACUACGUGCCAGCAGCCGCGGUAAUACGUAGGGAGCGAGCGUUGUCCGGAAUUACUGGGUGUAAAGGGAGCGUAGGCGGGACUGCAAGUUGGGUGUCAAAUCUACCGGCUCAACCGGUAGCCGCACUCAAAACUGCAGUUCUUGAGUGAAGUAGAGGCAGGCGGAAUUCCUAGUGUAGCGGUGAAAUGCGUAGAUAUUAGGAGGAACACCAGUGGCGAAGGCGGCCUGCUGGGCUUUUACUGACGCUGAGGCUCGAAAGUGUGGGGAGCAAACAGGAUUAGAUACCCCAGUAGUC
rnacentral:rRNA from 1 species